GCCUCCGUAGCUCAGUAGGUAGAGCGCCCGCCUUGUAAGCGGAUGGUCGCGGGUUCGAAUCCUGUCGGAGGCU
rnacentral:tRNA from 1 species